UUAAAAAAGCUUCUAACUUUUUAAAGAGCAUUAAAUUGU
rnacentral:tRNA from 1 species